UACGUAGGGCGCAAGCGUUGUCCGGAAUUAUUGGGCGUAAAGAGCUCGUAGGCGGCUUGUCACGUCUGCUGUGAAAUCCCGGGGCUCAACCCCGGGCGUGCAGUGGAUACGGGCUGGCUAGAGGCAGGCAGGGGAGAACGGAAUUCCCGGUGUAGCGGUGAAAUGCGCAGAUAUCGGGAGGAACACCGGUGGCGAAGGCGGUUCUCUGGGCCUUACCUGACGCUGAGGAGCGAAAGCGUGGGGAGCGAACAGG
rnacentral:rRNA from 1 species